UUCAUGGUGUUUUAGACAAAAUAUGGAUAUAGGCUCAAAAGGGGUUAACGAGGGAUAUAAUAAUUCGGGAUGGCUAGAAAGGCUCGGGGUUAAUUACAAACAACAUGCCUCAGUGUGUGUAACAUGCAGUGACAGUCCCAGAGUGUCUACACAAAUUUAGACUCUCUUGGUUUGGUUCAGCUUUGACAGGACCCAUAGUGCUCCUUAAUUUGGUGCAAUUGCUUUCUUACUUCGGAGUGUGCAGG
rnacentral:lncRNA from 1 species